GGGCUCGUGGCGAACCGGUAUCGCGUCCCCUUGGCUAGGGGAAGACAUCGGGUUCAAUUCCCGACGAGUCCA
rnacentral:tRNA from 1 species